AUACAGAGGGUGCAAGCGUUAAUCGGAUUUACUGGGCGUAAAGCGCGCGUAGGUGGCCAAUUAAGUCAAAUGUGAAAUCCCCGAGCUUAACUUGGGAAUUGCAUUCGAUACUGGUUGGCUAGAGUAUGGGAGAGGAUGGUAGAAUUCCAGGUGUAGCGGUGAAAUGCGUAGAGAUCUGGAGGAAUACCGAUGGCGAAGGCAGCCAUCUGGCCUAAUACUGACACUGAGGUGCGAAAGCAUGGGGAGCAAACAGGAUUAGAUACCCUGGUAGUCCAUGCCGUAAACGAUGUCUACUAGCCGUUGGGGCCUUUGAGGCUUUAGUGGCGCAGCUAACGCGAUAAGUAGACCGCCUGGGGAGUACGGUCGCAAGACUAAA
rnacentral:rRNA from 1 species